AUCAAGAGCUCCUGUCUUGGCCUCCCAGAGUGCUAGGCUUAAAUCGCGCCAGGCCUAUUGUAUGAUUUUUUUCACAUGGAGCAAAGAUGGUCUAUGUGUAAGAAAUUCCAGUUUUCUGUGUUCCACAACACCUGUGCUCUUAGGAGACCCUUUUUUCCCCCCGCAGCAGCAAUAUCACUUCCUGAAAAAGGACUCCAAUUGGGCAUCCCUCAACACUCACUGUGGCCCUGCCAGGGCCACCACACCAACGCCAAGAGCCAGGGUGAGAGGAGCUGCCGGCUUCCCAGAACCACACAAACGGAGGACAAAGGAGUCAUCAUUUCGCAAAUAGAUGGUGCGCAGACCAAAAAAAAAAGAGAGAGAGAAACAACUAUCUGCUUCCCCUACAUAACAUCAUCGCAGACGGAUCAGUGUGGCAGGCAGGCUCCGCGAUGACCCCUCACAGUCUCUGCCCCUGGCAUUUGUACCUUCGUAUGCCCUUCCUCCUCACGGUGGGCAGCAUUGAUUAACGUCUGGCGAAUGCACAUGGCGCGUCACUUCUGAGCUGAGGCUAUGAAAGACUCCAGGUUGCGUCUCAGACGCUCUUUCUGGCUUUGUCUUGAGUGGUUCACUCUGGGGAGAGCCGGCCACCAAGUUGAGUCCGUCCUGGGGAGAAUCCCACAAACAAGCACCUUGACACCCGUGGCCUGAGCGGUUCAGAUCACCCCCGAGCAGUUCAAAGUCCAUCUGGCGUCACCGCGGGACACGGGCCGCCGUGCUUCGCAGCGGAAGGCCGGGCUUUGCGUCCGCCCAGCGCGCUCCACAGAGGCGGGUUGCUGCCCGUGGGCAUUAGCUGACAGUAGAAAAGACCUUCAUGCACAACGGCAACAAGAGAAACCAUAAAGGGGAAGACUGAUACAUCUUACUACAAAAAAGGAGUGUGAGAGGCGUCGUCAGCCCGCCGAGCCUGGGGCGCUCCGGCCGGGGCGCAGGCCGCCCGCCAGGCCGCCAGGCCGCGCUCCGCGGGCGCCACGCGAGCGGCGACAAGACCCACUGCGCUUUCGAUGUUGAGAACAGAAAAUCACGGGAAAGUGUUGAAGGCCCAAACACAAAGCCACAAAGCUAAAUUAAAAAAUGAGGCUUGUCUGAAUAAUAAAAAAACCAAAAUCCUUAUUCUAAAAAUUGAAUUUCUGUCUGCUG